rnacentral:misc_RNA from 1 species
GAUGAAGAACGUAGCGAAAUGCGAUAAGUAGUGUGAAUUGCAGAAUUCAGUGAAUCAUCGAAUCUUUGAACGCACCUUGCGCUCCUUGGUAUUCCGAGGAGCAUGCCUGUUUGAGUGUCAUGAAAUUCUCAACCUUUUCAGCUUUCUUUGUUGAUCAGGCUUGGAUGUGGGAGUAUGCGGGCUUCUCAGAAGUCGGCUCUCCUGAAAUGCAUUAGCGGGACCUUUGUUGCCUGGCUUUGGUGUGAUAAUUAUCUACGCCAUUGUAGUCAAGCAGCUUAAAAUGAGGUUUCAGCUUCUAACCGUCUCCCCUGAGACAACUUUUUGACAAUUUGACCUCAAAUCAGGUAGGACUACCCGCUGAACUUAAGCAUAUCAAUAAGCGGAGGA